UGUGUGUGUGUGUGUGUGUGUAAUAAGAACCAAUGCAAAGGGUUAAAAUGUACCACUAUAUCAAAUCUAACAAAACUCUUCAAAAAGGAAAUAAUGAAAAAAAAAAAGUAUUAUUUGAACUGUAUUACCUAAGGAUCCUGAGGAUCUAAUUUGUUCUUUUUCAUUUUAUUUCUUGCUUUUUAUCGGUCAUUCUUUUGUUUUUUAUUAUCAUCUAUAAACAUGUUCAAUAAAAAAGAAUAAGAAAAAUACGGGGAGAGGUUACCAUUUACACAGCCCGAGAUGAAGCCUCGAACGUCACACGCUACGUCAUUUCGCCUACGUGAAGCCUGCUCGAUAGGGAGCUUCGCUGGGGGGAGGAGCCGAGGUACUCGACACACGCUCCGAUGCCUCGACGCAAACCAUAACAUCACUACAUAUAGGAAAUUUCACCGACGACUGCUUCCUCAACUUGGUCCAAUACAAAGCUGGACUUGCGGAACGUCUGGAAAUGGAGUCCGGUUCAGUACCAACUCUCCUCGGCUCAGCGACAAAUCUCGGACAAAUCGAUGACCUCCGUUACAGCUCGCAACUUACGGUCUGAAAUGUGUCCCCGGAUGCAGCAGAAUGUUAUACAUCGAUCUGGCCAGCCCAUCAAUUGGUAACAUUCAGGUGUUUCUCUCGAGGGAUGUUGCCUGCCAUACAGACCACCUGGAAACACAUACUGUAGCCACACGGCUAUCCUUAAAGACUUUCCGGCCCCACUUCACAAGUAAAGAAGACUGCGAUGCCUUUGGAGACCGUAGCACGCAGCGCGGCGCCACCUCUGAGAGUCUGGGUGUGGACGCCCCUGGC